rnacentral:rRNA from 1 species
GAGUUUGAUCGUGGCUCAGAUUGAACGCUGGCGGCAGGCCUAACACAUGCAAGUCGAGCGGUAGAGAGAAGCUUGCUUCUCUUGAGAGCGGCGGACGGGUGAGUAAUGCCUAGGAAUCUGCCUGGUAGUGGGGGAUAACGCUCGGAAACGGACGCUAAUACCGCAUACGUCCUACGGGAGAAAGCAGGGGACCUUCGGGCCUUGCGCUAUCAGAUGAGCCUAGGUCGGAUUAGCUAGUUGGUGAGGUAAUGGCUCACCAAGGCGACGAUCCGUAACUGGUCUGAGAGGAUGAUCAGUCACACUGGAACUGAGACACGGUCCAGACUCCUACGGGAGGCAGCAGUGGGGAAUAUUGGACAAUGGGCGAAAGCCUGAUCCAGCCAUGCCGCGUGUGUGGAGAAGGUCUUCGGAUUGUAAAGCACUUUAAGUUGGGAGGAAGGGCAGUAAAUUAAUACUUUGCUGUUUUGACGUUACCGACAGAAUAAGCACCGGCUAACUCUGUGCCAGCCGCC